rnacentral:rRNA from 1 species
UGAGGAAUAUUGGGCAAUGCCCGCAAGGGUGACCCAGCAACGCCGCGUGGAGGAUGAAUGUCGUGAGAUUGUAAACUCCUGUUAGAGGGGAAGAAUAGUACCGGUUGGACCGGUAUAUGACUGUACCCUCAGAGAAAGCCCCGGCUAACUACGUGCCAGCAGCCGCGGUAAUACGUAGGGGGCAAGCGUUGUCCGGAUUUACUGGGUGUAAAGGGCGCGCAGGCGGGAUAAAAAGUCAGUGGUGAAAUCCUACAGCUUAACUGUAGAACUGCCUUUGAUACUUUUAUUCUUGAGUUCGGGAGAGAGAGACGGAAUUCCAGGUGUAGUGGUGAAAUACGUAGAUAUCUGGAAGAACACCAGUUGCGAGGCGGUCUCUUGGUCCGACACUGACGCUGAGGCGCGAAAGCGUGGGGAGCAAACA